GAUGAAGAACGCAGCGAAAUGCGAUAAGUAGUGUGAAUUGCAGAAUUCAGUGAAUCAUCGAAUCUUUGAACGCACAUUGCGCCCCAUGGUAUUCCGUGGGGCAUGCCUGUUCGAGCGUCAUUUACCCCCUCAAGCUCCGCUUGGUGUUGGGCGUCUGUCCCGCUUCGCGCGCGGACUCGCCCCAAAGGUAUUGGCAGCGGUCGUGCCAGCUUCUCGCGCAGCACAUUGCGCUUCUCGAGGCACCGGUGGGCCCGCGUCCAUCAAGCUCACCCCCCCAGUUUGACCUCGGAUCAGGUAGGGAUACCCGCUGAACUUAAGCAUAUCAAUCAGCGGAGGA
rnacentral:misc_RNA from 1 species